rnacentral:rRNA from 1 species
AGCGAACGCUGGCGGCAGGCCUAACACAUGCAAGUCGAACGAACCCUUCGGGGUUAGUGGCGGACGGGUGAGUAAAACGUGGGAACGUGCCUUUAGGUUCGGAAUAACUCAGGGAAACUUGUGCUAAUACCGAAUGUGCCCUUCGGGGGAAAGAUUUAUCGCCUUUAGAGCGGCCCGCGUCUGUUUAGCAAGUUUGUGAGGUAAUGGCUCACCAAGGCUACGAUCAGUAGCUGGUCUGAGAGGAUGACCAGGCACUUUGGGAAUGAGACACGGCCCAAACUCCUACAGGAGGCAGCAGGGGGGAAUCUUGCGCGAUGGGCGAAAGCCUGACGCAGCCAUGCCGCGUGGAUGAUGAAGGUCUUAGGAUUGUAAAAUCCUUUCACCGGUGAAGAUAAUGACUGUAGCCGGAGAAGAAGCCCCGGCUAACUUCGUGCCAGCCGCCGCCGUAAGAC